rnacentral:rRNA from 1 species
GACGGAGGGGGCAAGCGUUGUUCGGAAUUAUUGGGCGUAAAGGGCUCGUAGGCGGACUGGUAAGUCUGAUGUGAAAUCUCCAUCGCUCAACGAGGAGAGGUCAUUGGAAACUGCCAGUCUGGAGUACGGUAGAGGACCAUGGAAUUCCAGGUGUAGCGGUGGAAUGCGUAGAUAUCUGGAAGAACACCUGUGGCGAAAGCGGCUCACUGGACCAUAACUGACGCUGAGGCGCGAAAGCUAGGGGAGCAAACAGG